rnacentral:snRNA from 1 species
GACAGCAGUUGGAUGGUCACAUUGGCAACACUGAAAUGACGAGAGAUCAGCAUGGCCCCUAUGUGAAGAUGGCAUGUAAACUUGUGAAGGGCUUCAUAUUUUU